UGGUUCGAUAGAUGGGCUGGGGAAACCCCCUUCGUGGCGCGCUUUAUUGACCUGUUCACCAUCGCGGUUGAUCUGCGAAUUUCUGUCGCGGUGGCCCUUAUUGACUUAGGGCAUCUCGCGUUCCGGAGGCCAUUUGGACUGGCUAAGAAUGCGAUGUGGCAGGACUUGCUCGACUGCAUUGCUCUGCAUGAGCCGGACCUGGAGAUGGGUGAGGACCACACCAGGUGGCGUAUUGACCCAUCUAGACAGUUCUCCUCUAAAUCUCUCUACCUGGCUAUAGCCCCUUCGCCGGGUCCUAAGGCUCUCACCACCAUUUGGGCGAUUCGGCUUCCCUUAAAUAUUAGGAUCUUCUUGUGGCAAUGGAUUCGCGGUCGCCUUCCAUCUGGCGUAGAGGUCCUGAAACACAAUGGCCCUGGGGAUGGGUGA
rnacentral:rRNA from 1 species